GAAUUGACCAGUAAUGGUCUUGUGUAUAUUUACGUUCACUGUGAACAAAUCAGGACGCUUAGAGUAUGGUUACAGGAAUGACUCAGCGCAGUAUGAUAUCUUUGUUUUUUUCGGAAAACAAGCUCAAAGAGAGCCAUCGGGGGUAGAUCUAUCCCAUGACGAGUGGUGGAAUACGGUGACUCAUGGGAGAGAAUCGGAGGCGAAGGCGUCUACCUAGAGGGUUUCUGUCGAUCAAGGGCGAGAGUAGGAGUAUCCAACAGGAUUAGAGACCCUGGUAGUUCCUACUGUAAACGAUGCCGACAGGAGUUUGUCAUUUGCUAAUGGCAGAAUCUUUAGAGAAAUCAUAGUUCUUGGGCUCUGGGGGAACUACGACCGCAAGGCUGAAACUUGAAGGAAUUGACGGAAGGGCACACCAGGGGUGGAGCCUGUGGCUUAAUUUGAAUCAACACGGGGAAACUUACCAGGACCAGAUGUUUUUUAUGACUGACAGGCUUAAGGUCUUUCAGGAUAUGAUUUUUGGUGGUGCAU
rnacentral:rRNA from 1 species